CGUCGAGCUACUACGGUAGUGAAGUCAUUGAUGCCAUGCUUCCAGGAAAAGCCUCUAAGCUUCAGAUUGUAAGGAAUCGUACCCCAAACCGACACAGGUGGUCGGGUAGAGAAUACCAAGGCGCUUGAGAGAACUCGGGUGAAGGAACUAGGCAAAAUGGUACCGUAACUUCGGGAGAAGGUACGCUCUUGAUGGUGAAGUCCCUUGCGGAUGGAGCUGACGAGAGUCGCAGAUACCAGGUGGCUGCAACUGUUUAUUAAAAACACAGCACUGUGCAAAAUCGUAAGAUGACGUAUACGGUGUGACGCCUGCCCGGUGCCGGAAGGUUAAUUGAUGGGGUUAGCGCAAGCGAAGCUCUUGAUCGAAGCCCCGGUAAACGGCGGCCGUAACUAUAACGGUCCUAAGGUAGCGAAAUUCCUUGUCGGGUAAGUUCCGACCUGCACGAAUGGCGUAAUGAUGGCCACGCUGUCUCCACCCGAGACUCAGUGAAAUUGAAAUCGCUGUGAAGAUGCAGUGUACCCGCGGCUAGACGGAAAGACCCCGUGAACCUUUACUACAGCUUGGCACUGAACAUUGAACCUACAUGUGUAGGAUAGGUGGGAGGCUUUGAAGACGUGACGCCAGUUGCGUUGGAGCCGUCCUUGAAAUACCACCCUUGUAUGUUUGAUGUUCUAACGUUGGCCCCUAAUCGGGGUUGCGGACAGUGCCUGGUGGGUAGUUUGACUGGGGCGGUCUCCUCCCAAAGAGUAACGGAGGAGCACGAAGGUGGGCUAAUCACGGUUGGACAUCGUGAGGUUAGUGCAAUGGCAUAAGCCCGCUUAACUGCGAGAAUGACGGUUCGAGCAGGUGCGAAAGCAGGUCAUAGUGAUCCGGUGGUUCUGAAUGGAAGGGCCAUCGCUCAACGGAUAAAAGGUACUCCGGGGAUAACAGGCUGAUACCGCCCAAGAGUUCAUAUCGACGGCGGUGUUUGGCACCUCGAUGUCGGCUCAUCACAUCCUGGGGCUGAAGUCGGUCCCAAGGGUAUGGCUGUUCGCCAUUUAAAGUGGUACGCGAGCUGGGUUUAGAACGUCGUGAGACAGUUCGGUCCCUAUCUGCCGUGGGCGUUGGAAGAUUGAAGGGGGCUGCUCCUAGUACGAGAGGACCGGAGUGGACGAACCUCUGGUGUUCGGGUUGUGUCGCCAGACGCAUUGCCCGGUAGCUAAGUUCGGAAUCGAUAACCGCUGAAAGCAUCUAAGCGGGAAGCGAGCCCUGAGAUGAGUCUUCCCUGAUACUUUAAGUAUCCUAAAGGGUUGUUCGAGACUAGAACGUUGAUAGGCAGGGUGUGUAAGCGCUGUGAGGCGUUGAGCUAACCUGUACUAAUUGCCCGUGAGGCUUAACCAU
rnacentral:rRNA from 1 species